AUACACAAGGCUAAAUAUCAUUAAGGCACCAGAUCCUCUCGGAUCUUGGAGGCAAAGCAGGGUCAGCCUUGGUUAGUACAGGAUAGGAGACAGCCAAUGAAUGUCAGGUGUUGUAGAUU
rnacentral:rRNA from 11 species